AGCUCGUUGCAGAGGCAAAAGUCCCCCCAAAUCCACGUAGCACCCGUGCAAAGCGCCUGUCCCUGCCAGCUGCUCCGCGCCCCGUCACCACUCGCCUGGGAGCCUUCGUGUCCCCUGGCCGCGAGCGGAGCCGGUCGCCGCGGCCCUGGUGUUCGGUGCAAUGUGAGCGGAGCCCGGGCACCCGGGCAGGGACCGCUUUGAGGAUUUAUGGGUCUGGCUUAACUGGGGUAAUGCUCUGAGCAGGCGCUGCGCUCCCCGCGAUUAGCAGCUAAUAYGCGGAGGUUUGCGUUUUCUCAUGCUUGCGGCUAGGAGACCAACCAGACCGACGCGGGCCGAGGCGCGGGGCAGGUCUGCCGGGGGCCGGCUACCGCUGCAGAGCUGCUGCCCCUCUUGGUCCUGGCCCGUUCGGCUAAAAACCUGUCGCUUUCUUGCUGGUUUCGGCUGGGUUCCCGUCCUGUGUUUCCAUAACUYCGAGCCCUGAAAGCAGCCCGGGGGAUUUCCCUGCUGCCUGUUGACACUUUCACUCUCUGACCUGACACUUUCACUCCUUUCCUUGCCCRGAGUCCAGGCCGGGUCGGCUGCAGAGGGCUGGCGUGAGGAAAGGGCAUGUCUAGAGCGAACAGACCCUCCUGCCCUCCCGCAGUGUCCGCACCAGCAACGUUCAAAACCUGCGAGCGGCCACGUGGCUCCAUGGGGCAGRGGCCAAACCCCCCGGCGCUGCCGAGGCCCCGGGGCUCCGGCGUUUCCGAGGUGCCGAUCGCCGCGGGAUGCCAGCAGCGGGCAAGCAGGACCGGGCGCCGCUGGCGUGUGCAGCCCGCGCAGGACCGCGCCGUAGGCAGCCGUGCCCAGCGCCCACAGGCAGCGGCGAGGUCCGGGACGAAGAGGGAGGCUGCCGAGGUGCCGUUGGGCUCCUUCCACUUUGACUCGUGUUUCUGCAAAUUCAUAAGCCCCGCUGUGGGUCGGCUCGGCGGAAAGGGCAGGAGAAGCCGGUGGGUCUCAAACCUUGGCGGCACAGGGGCAGCGACGGCCACCCCCGGGGAUGCCCGCGUCCAGCGCCGGCUCGUGCAGGGCGCCACGGUGGGUGAUGCACUGAUGCUCCCCGCGGCCCCUCUGUCCCGGGGGCCCUCGGGCAAAGCCGGGGGCCGGGUUCGUCCCCCCUCGGGGCAGCGGGCGCCGGGGCCGCGUGGGCUCCCCGUGCAGGGGCUCCGGUUCGGGCGACGCAGCGGCUCUGCGGCUGCAGCUCUGCUCCGGGCGGGUGGAGGUGGGUGAUGCUCCGGCGCCCGCUCGGCGAAACGAGGACGAGCCCCCCGGCACGGGCGCUGGCUCGGGGUGUCCCUGCGAUUAACUGCAAGAAUAUGUAAAUGUAUAUACCGGUUGCCAUAGUUACCACGGGAAUUACAGCCGAGGCGGAGCAGCCCCAGCCCACAGCCCGGGUCGGGACGUGCAUCGCCGGCGCCUCGGGCGCUCUGCAAGGGGGAACCUCGCGCGGGGCCGUUGCAUCCGGGACGCCGCUGCCGGCCUUGGCCACGCGACAGCGCGACGCCGGCACGGCCGAGGGCUGUAACGGCAAGCGGUGUCCCAUGGAAAUCACGGGCAGCUCCGAUCCGCACCGCAGCCCUGGCGCUUGCAGGUGCUGCUGCCUUCUGGGGGCCACCCAGGCCUUGGGAAAAGCCCGGCCCGGCGGCUUGUUGCCGGCCAAUCCUCUAAAGCUGGGAGGGAAAAGGGGCUCCGGGAGCCGCCGAGCCGGGAGCGCUGCCGCCGGCUGCAUCAGUCACGUUGCAUCGCGCAACGGCGCUGCGGUGAGAUCUGCAUGUGCGGUUCUAAAAGGCAUUUUUAAACCUCCAUUAAAAAAAAGCUCUAAGAUAAACUGCCAAAUGCCGCGAAGCGGAGGGGAUGAGCUAAGGACGGAGGGAUGGAGGGGGCGAAGCGCAAUCCUGCUUAAUUUCCAUGACAGCAAUCUCUGCGGAGCGGCGCCAGGACGCAGCCGCGCCAGCGAGGCUUUUUAGGAAAACGUGUCGCGUGCUAAAAACGCUGCUUUGAGGUUCGUGCGCGACAUGUUUUGCAAAUCUGCCUUGAAACGAGGCGGUGGAUAGCGGCCGGGGCGGCGGGCGCAGAGCCGGCCCCGCAGCCCCCUCCCUCCGCGCCGGGCGCUCCUCUUCCCCGUUUCCUCGGCGUUUCGGGCCCUUCCGCACAUCAAUCUCUCUAUUUUUAUUUUGACAAAUGCAUGUUUCCAGGAAGCCGCCGGGGUCAGAGCAGCAUCUGUUGCUGG
ensembl:lncRNA